AUGGAGAUUUUGAGAUGGAUGCUUGUGAGAAUUGCGGUAGCUACGACACCGAACAAGAGGGCGACAAAUACCACAUGGUGAUCCGUUGCACUAAAUGCGGCGAUAAGAAAUUUCUCAGCAGCUAUCGCGACGAGGGCGAAGACAAGUGGCGAGANNNACGACGACAGAAACUACCGCUGAACUGCAACCACUGACGGAGAUGAGAGAUGGACCAGAUGUUUCUGGACGAAGCCGAAAAGUAUACGCCGCUCGGCCCCCACUAUUUCGCCGCGCGCAAGACCGCCGAAACAUUCAUGGCCGAUUUCCAGAACGAACAUUUUCAACCGCUCGCGAAAAAAUUC
rnacentral:misc_RNA from 1 species